AAAAAAGAAAAAAUUCAUUUUGAAAAAUGCUAGAACUUCAAUAAAUUAUAUUGCUUUGGCCAGAACCAAACCCAAGCGAAUCGUAAAAAAAUGGAGGUAACCUCAACGUGAGGCGUGGGGCGCGUGGGGGUCCGAGUGCUUCAUCCAAGCUGUAGCUCGACUUGCUGGCACCUUCACUAUCUCAUGGCAACAAUACAAAGGAGACGAAGAAGAGAAAUAACAGAGCAAAAUUCGCAUGGCGGACAGGUGAAUCGGGUCAGAGACGGCAGCAGCAACAGCAGCAGCACCUAACGGGUAUGCGGAGAAAAAAGCUUUCCUGUCAAGUGAGCGUGCAAAAAAGGAAGAAGCAGAAACUGUGCUGCCUGAAGUGAAAAUGUGGGUGGGUUGUGAAGGCAUGGAGCAGGGGAGGGGGAUCAGUGCGAUGCAAAAAAAUUGGAAUGCGAAACCCAAACUGAGUUUGAGCAAAUCAGAUGCUUGAUGGCCCUGCGCCCUGACAAGAAGCGCGUCAAAGUUUCCUUUGCCGCAGGCAAUAAACAGAAAGAAGGGGCGGAGGAGGUGUAGGAGGAGAUGGAACCCGUGUAUGUUUCGUGUUUAUUUGAAAAAUCGCUAAAGGAUAACUAAAGGAUUCCCCUAAGGGCAUUUGGCGAGCACGCGAGUGAUUUGUAUGCGAAUUUACAUACGCACGCAGCGAGGUUCCGCCAAAA